rnacentral:tRNA from 1 species
GGCCCGGUAGCUCAGUCGGUAGAGCAGAGGAUUGAAAAUCCUUGUGUCGACAGUUCGAUUCUGUCCCAGGCCACCA